rnacentral:rRNA from 1 species
CCCUUAGAUGUUCUGGGCCGCACGCGCGCUACACUGAUGCAUUCAACGAGUCUAAAACCUGCUCUGAUAGGGGUGGGUAAUCUUUUGAAUGUGCAUCGUGAUUGGGAUAGAUGAUUGCAAUUUUUCAUCUUCAACGAGGAAUGCCUAGUAAACGCAAGUCAUCAGCUUGCAUUGAUUACGUCCCUGCCCUCUGUACACACCGCCCGUCGCUCCUACCGAUUGAAUGAUCCGAUGAAUAUCAUGGAUUGAGGAUUAUAGCAGGUUCGCCUGUCUUGAUCUUCGAGAAGUGAAGUAAAUCUUAUCAUUUAGAGGAAGGAGAAGUCGUAACA